rnacentral:rRNA from 1 species
GUAGGUGGCAAGCGUUGUCCGGAAUUAUUGGGCGUAAAGCGCGCGCAGGCGGGUCCUUUAAGUCUGAUGUGAAAGCCCACGGGCUCAACCGUGGAGGGUCAUUGGAAACUGGGGGACUUGAGUACAGAAGAGGAAAGCGGAAUUCCAAGUGUAGCGGUGAAAUGCGUAGAGAUUUGGAGGAACACCAGUGGCGAAGGCGGCUUUCUGGUCUGUAACUGACACUGAGGCGCGAAAGCGUGGGGAGCAAACAGGAUUAGAUACCCUGGUAGUCCACGCCGUAAACGAUGAGUGCUAAGUGUUAGGGGGUUUCCGCCCCUUAGUGCUGCAGCUAACGCAUUAAGCACUCCGCCUGGGGAGUACGGCCGCAAAGGCUG